AGAGUUUGAUCAUGGCUCAGAUUAAACGCUGGCGGCAGGCCUAACACAUGCAAGUCGAACGGUAACAGGAAACAGCUUGCUGUUUCGCUGACGAGUGGCGGACGGGUGAGUAAUGUCUGGGAAACUGCCUGAUGGAGGGGGAUAACUACUGGAAACGGUAGCUAAUACCGCAUAACGUCGCAAGACCAAAGAGGGGGACCUUCGGGCCUCUUGCCAUCAGAUGUGCCCAGAUGGGAUUAGCUAGUAGGUGGGGUAACGGCUCACCUAGGCGACGAUCCCUAGCUGGUCUGAGAGGAUGACCAGCCACACUGGAACUGAGACACGGUCCAGACUCCUACGGGAGGCAGCAGUGGGGAAUAUUGCACAAUGGGCGCAAGCCUGAUGCAGCCAUGCCGCGUGUAUGAAGAAGGCCUUCGGGUUGUAAAGUACUUUCAGCGGGGAGGAAGGGAGUAAAGUUAAUACCUUUGCUCAUUGACGUUACCCGCAGAAGAAGCACCGGCUAACUCCGUGCCAGCAGCCGCGGUAAUACGGAGGGUGCAAGCGUUGAUCGGAAUUACUGGGCGUAAAGCGCACGCAGGCGGUUUGUUAAGUCAGAUGUGAAAUCCCCGGGCUCAACCUGGGAACUGCAUCUGAUACUGGCAAGCUUGAGUCUCGUAGAGGGGGGUAGAAUUCCAGGUGUAGCGGUGAAAUGCGUAGAGAUCUGGAGGAAUACCGGUGGCGAAGGCGGCCCCCUGGACGAAGACUGACGCUCAGGUGCGAAAGCGUGGGGAGCAAACAGGAUUAGAUACCCUGGUAGUCCACGCCGUAAACGAUGUCGACUUGGAGGUUGUGCCCUUGAGGCGUGGCUUCCGGAGCUAACGCGUUAAGUCGACCGCCUGGGGAGUACGGCCGCAAGGUUAAAACUCAAAUGAAUUGACGGGGGCCCGCACAAGCGGUGGAGCAUGUGGUUUAAUUCGAUGCAACGCGAAGAACCUUACCUGGUCUUGACAUCCACGGAAGUUUUCAGAGAUGAGAAUGUGCCUUCGGGAACCGUGAGACAGGUGCUGCAUGGCUGUCGUCAGCUCGUGUUGUGAAAUGUUGGGUUAAGUCCCGCAACGAGCGCAACCCUUAUCCUUUGUUGCCAGCGGUCCGGCCGGGAACUCAAAGGAGACUGCCAGUGAUAAACUGGAGGAAGGUGGGGAUGACGUCAAGUCAUCAUGGCCCUUACGACCAGGGCUACACACGUGCUACAAUGGCGCAUACAAAGAGAAGCGACCUCGCGAGAGCAAGCGGACCUCAUAAAGUGCGUCGUAGUCCGGAUUGGAGUCUGCAACUCGACUCCAUGAAGUCGGAAUCGCUAGUAAUCGUGGAUCAGAAUGCCACGGUGAAUACGUUCCCGGGCCUUGUACACACCGCCCGUCACACCAUGGGAGUGGGUUGCAAAAGAAGUAGGUAGCUUAACCUUCGGGAGGGCGCUUACCACUUUGUGAUUCAUGACUGGGGUGAAGUCGUAACAAGGUAACCGUAGGGGAACCUGCGGUUG
rnacentral:rRNA from 1 species